AAUUUAGACGACCUCCAUUGGGAUUAUCUACAACCAACAGGAAACAAACUCCAUUUAAUACCAAAGAAGAGAGUUGAACCACUUUGUGCUGGGUGGGUGUGUCUUUAGGGUUUCUUUGCAGGUGGCAAAUGGCAGCCUCUCGGCUCGUGAUUUUCUCCGUCUUUCUGGCCCUAGUUUUCACCCAGAUUAGAGCUGAUGUCUCAACCGAACCACUGCUUGAAUCGGACGCCUCCGGUUUUUCUGCUCUGAAGGCGGAGUUGGAUCAAUUGAAGUCCAAGAUCUCUCUUCUUGAGUCAAAUCUUGAGGAGAAAAUUGGAGAACUGAAAGCCAAGGACGAGAAAAUAAAGGAGAAAGAUGAAAUUAUUCUAGUCAAAUCUGACAACGUUGCAUCGUUGCAAACUGAAUUAUCAUCUCUUCAGAAAAAGGGAACAUCUGAUACCAAGGACAGGGUGGGAAAAGCUCAUGCGCAGGCACUUGAAUUGCAGAAACAGGCUGAUAAGCUUAAAAGUGAAUUAGAAGCAAAAUUAAAGGAAAAAAAUUCUUUGGAAGCCCGUGCAACUAAAGCUGAGAAUAAGUUGGAUGAAUUGAAUUUGAAGCUAGAGAAUCUUCAGAAGGUCAAUAAGGAGCAGGUGAACAAAAUAGCAAAAACUGAGCGAGCUCUAAAAAUUGCGGAGGAAGAAUUAAUUAAGACAAAGUUUGAGGCCACUUCAAAGGCAAAUGAAUUGUUGCAGGUUCACACGGCAUGGUUCCCACCUUGGCUUGCUAAGCAGUUAAACCGUGGUCAGGCCUUCAUUCAGACACAUUGGAGCGAGCGUGGAAAACCAACCUUGGAUUUGGUGAUGCAGAAGGCUCUUGAGAAAAAGGCCUUAGCUAAAAAGUGGGCUGAUCCCCACAUGGAAACAAUUAAAACUAAAUGGGUUCCAGCUAUUAAAGGUCAGUGGGUGGUGGUAACUACCCAUGCUAAACCACAUGUGCAAUCAUUAAAAGCAAAAACCGUCGAAGUUUAUGAGGCAUCAAAGACUGCAGUAACUCCUCAUAUUGACAAAGCUCAUGAAAUAGUUGAUCCUUACUUCCAAGAAGCAAAGAAGUUCAGCAAGCCAUGUAUUGAUCAUGUUGCUACUUUAGCAAAGCCUCAUGUUGAUAAAGUUUGUGUGGUGAUGAAGCCAUAUACAAAGGAGAUAGUUAAUGCUUAUGGGAGAUUUUUGGAAUCAGCAACAACAUACCAUCAACAGGUCCAAGCUUCUGUGCAAGAGACUUUGAAGAAGCAUGAGCUGACCAGACCUUUUGCAACCAAAGAGCUGGAGUGGUUUGCGGCUUCUGCUUUGUUGGCUCUACCUAUUAUUAUUUUGUUCAGAAUAUUUUCAGCCAUUUUCCGCAAGAAGGAAAAGAAGCGUGCUCGACAUGCUAAUACAACUAAUGGUCGUCGCAGGGGCAAAAGGGGGCACACAGACAAGUAGACUGCGUGUGUUUACGUUUUGGCCUCUUAAUGUUGGAAAUAUUAGAGGUAUUCUUCUACAAUUGCAUAAACCAAAGAUUAGGGUAAACGUUGAUAGAAGAGGCAGGUUAGCUGGUCGUGUUGUUUUUAGAGGCUCUAGAUUAUCAAGCAGUGGUGUUGCCAUUAGAAGUGACAAAUCUUCUCUUACCCCACAAGCUCCCCUGUUUUUGUUAUUUUUUGUGGGGGUGGAGGAAAUUUGAAAGAAAAAAAAUAUUAAGGACCCUAUUCACGCUACAAAGUUGAAAUCUUGAGAUUCAUAGUUGUAGGACUUGUGUAUUUUAUUUUAUCUUUUAUGGAUUCACAAAUGAAACAACUCGUCUCUGUUUCAGAACUUGUCAUACUUAAAGUUGAGACAUCCAUGGGGAUGAAUUUUGUGUC